rnacentral:rRNA from 1 species
GACGAACGCUGGCGGCGUGCUUAACACAUGCAAGUCGAACGGAAAGGUCCUGCUUUUGUGGGGUGCUCGAGUGGCGAACGGGUGAGUAACACGUGAGUAACCUGCCCUUGACUUUGGGGUAACUUCAGGAAACUGGGGCUAAUACCGGAUAGGAGCUCCUGCUGCAUGGUGGGGGUUGGAAAGUUUCGGCGGUUGGGGAUGGACUCGCGGCUUAUCGGCUUGUUGGUGGGGUAGUGGCUUACCAAGGCUUUGAAGGGUAGCCGGCCUGCGAGGGUGACCGGCCACAUGGCGACUGAGAGACGGACCAGACUCCAACGGGAGGCAGCAGUGGGGAACAUUGCGGAAUGGGCGGAAGCCUGAGACAGCAACGCCGCGUUCGGAAUGACGGCCUUCUGGUUGUAAACCGAUGUCGCAGGUGACGAGGCGUUCGUGACGGUAAUGGGUAAGAAAGCACCGGCUAACUACGUG